GCCCGCCUAGCUCAAUCGGCUAGAGCGUCAGACUUUUACGAAGGGUGCACCCAACGAAAUAUCAUCUGAAGGCUGCGAGUUCGACCCUCGCGGUGGGCU